rnacentral:rRNA from 1 species
AGAGUUUGAUCCUGGCUCAGGAUUAACGCUGGCGGCGUGCAUAACACAUUCAAGUCGAACGGACUUUAGCCUUCGGGCUGAAGUUAGUGGCGGACGGGUGAGUAACGCGUGAGCAACCUACCUUCUGAUGGGGGAUAACGUCUGGAAACGGACGCUAAUACCGCAUAAUCCGACGUUGUCGCAUGACGAUAUCGGCAAAGAGUUAAUUGUCAGGAGAUGGGCUCGCGUUGGAUUAGAUAGUUGGUAGGGUAACAGCCUACCAAGUCAACGAUCCAUAGCCGGACUGAGAGGUCGGACGGCCACAUUGGAACUGAGACACGGUCCAGACUCCUACGGGAGGCAGCAGUGGGGAAUAUUGGGCAAUGGGCGAAAGCCUGACCCAGCGACGCCGCGUGAAGGAAGAAGGUCCUCGGAUUGUAAACUUCAGUAGGCAGGGACGAAGGAAGUGACGGUACCUGCAGAGUAAGCCACGGCCAACUACGUGCCAGCAGCCGCGGUAAUACGUAGGUGGCGAGCGUUAUCCGGAUUUACUGGGUGUAAAGGGUGUGUAGGCGGGGCUGCAAGUCUGGUGUGAAAUUUAACGGCUUAACCGUUAAUGUGCAUUAGAAACUGCGGCUCUUGGGGGCCGGAGGGGUAAACGGAAUUCCCGGUGUAGCGGUAAAAUGCGUAGAUAUCGGGAGGAACACCAGUGGCGAAGGCGGUUUACUGGACGGCAACUGACGCUGAGACACGAAAGCGUGGGGAGCAAACAGGAUUAGAUACCCUGGUAGUCCACGCCCUAAACGAUGAAUAUUAGGGUGUGGGUGCGAAAAGCAUCCGUGCCGCAGCUAACGCAGUAAAUAUUCCACCUGGGGAGUACGGCCGCAAGGUUGAAACUCAAAUGAAUUGACGG